GCCGGUAUGAUGGAAUUGGCAGACGUGACGGACUCAAAAUCCGUUGGUAGCGAUACCGUGUCGGUUCGACCCCGACUACCGGCACCA
rnacentral:tRNA from 2 species